rnacentral:rRNA from 1 species
UUAUUCAGUAGUUCCAGACAUAGCGAAAUCUUUUUUUUUCGAAAUAAUAUUAGAAAAAAAGGUGUAAAGGUGAGUAAUAAUAAAUAAGAUACCCUAAAGUCUCCGUAAAUCGGAGAUAUUUCUUAACUACUCAGGAUCAGGUACCUGGCAGGGUGAACCUGCCUAGGUACCUGAUCGGUACCUGGGAGAUUAAGGAAAGUAGAUAAGCUAUUUAUAUAAAUAAAGGAAAUUUUCCGCUUUAGGAUUUGAUUUAUUCAGAUUAGGUAGUUGGGAGGGUAAAAGCCUACCAAGCCGACGAUCUGUAGCUAUGCUUGACAGAGCCGAUAGCCACAUUGGGAAUGAAAUCUCCCUAGUAGUAUUUAACUACCAGCAGUCUAGAGUAUUAGUCAAUGCUCGCAAGAGUGAACUAGCUAACUGGAAUCUUUCUUUAAUUAAGGAGAUAAGGUAAGGGAAAAUAAUGAUACUACCUUACUAUUAGUGUUGUCCAAAUCUGGUGCCAGAAGACUCGGUAAGGCCAGAAACGCGAACGUUAGUCAUCCUAAACAGGCGUAAAGGGUGUGUAGGCAGCUUCAUAUGAUUUUUAAUUAUAUAGCUCUCAGGUACCUGGGCAUAUGUCCAUCGGGGUGAGAAUUAAAAAUAGGCUGAAGCUAGAAUCUAAAAGGGGUUAAAAUAUAUAAUACUUAGAGUAGAGUUCCAAUUCAUAUAUACUAAGUAGAAUACUAAAAGCGAAGGCAUUUUUCCACUAAAGAUUGACGCUGAUAUACGAAGGUGGGGAUAGGAAAUAGGAUUAGAGACCCAUGAACCCCUCACUGUAAACGAUGAAUGGUAGUGAUCAGUUUUUUUAAAUUGAUUUCGAGGCUAACGCGAUGACCAUUCCGCCUUGUGAGUACGAUUCCAAAAUUGAAAACAAAAAAAUUAGUCGGUCUCGGAGCAAACGAAGUGAAGCAUGUUGUUUAAUACGAUAAUCCGCGUAAAAUCUUACCAGUUCUUGUAUAAAACUUAUGGUUUUUAAGAAAUUAAAAGUUGUAAGGAGUGUUUUUUAUAAAAAUGCUAACUACAGGUGUUGCAUGGCUGUCGUCAGUCCGUAUCGUCAGAAGUUAGGUUAACUCCACAAACGGACGAAAUCCCUUUUGUUAAUUUAUACUUAACAAAUAUGUGAGUCUGAUAUAGAUUCAUUUCGGGGCUAAGACAAGUCGUUAUGGUCCUCAUGAACUGGGCUAUAGACGUGCCGCAAAAACUUAACAAAGUGAUGCAAUACCCUCUCACUAUUACCAGGUACUUCGGUACUCCGGUACCCAGGUACCUGGUUAGUUUACUUUUUUAGUAAAUUGGGAAAUAAGGUGGAGCUAAUCAUUAAAUAAAGUUAAUAUACUAAAUUGUACCUGAUUGUCACCUGAAAUUCGGUGGCAUGAAGCAGGAAUUUCGAGUAAUCGUUGAUCAUUACGCAACGGUGAAGUAUGAAUCCGUGAUGAACUAACUGUCUGUCGCUGGGGCGGAGCUUAUAUCGAUGGAAAAUGGAAGUAGAGUAAUAUUUUACAUAGGUUUAGUUUUAAGCUAUUUUUAUAGUCAAUUAUCAAAAAAACACCUAUGUUAAGUUAUUUGGUUUUAGUAAAUUCGGUUGA